rnacentral:misc_RNA from 1 species
UGGUAUUCUCAGUUUCUGGAAUCCAAUACACUAACAUCAGGUAAUGAGGUUCCGCGUGGUGGUACCAAAAUCCUUCCUUAACUGCAGUUUCAACCAAAUUUGCAAGCUCAAUUGGUAGUUUAAUCCAGACACCCUUCUUCCCCUGCAGCCUCCACUUGGAUAAUGAAGCUUUAAGCAUGUUUUGAAAGACAUUGGGGUCCAUAGGCUCCUUCAAUUCCACUAUAACUCCACCAUGAUAAUCAUUUACUGCAGAAAGCAACUGAUCCUUCUUGACACCAUUUUGAAAUGCUAGUUUCUCCAUAUAUAGGACCUCAACUUAGUCCAAAUUUGCACAGCACAAUUUUCUGCUUGGACGCCUUGAAAAUG